GUACACGCUGUGACUAGCAUAUCAAUAAGCGGAGGAAAAGAAACUAACAAGGAUUCCCCUAGUAACGGCGAGUGAAGCGGGAAGAGCUCAAAUUUGAAAUCUUAAAGGGUUUCCCUUUACGAAUUGUAGUUUAAAGAAGUGUUUUCUGUCGAGGUUUUGGUAAAAGUUCUUUGGAAUAGGACAUCAUAGAGGGUGAGAAUCCCGUAUUUGACCUUUACUUUCAACUUUGUGAUACACUUUCAAAGAGUCGGAUUGUUUGGGAAUGCAGUCCAAAAUGGGUGGUAAAUUUCAUCUAAAGCUAAAUAUUGGCGAGAGACCGAUAGCGAACAAGUACCGUGAGGGAAAGAUGAAAAGAACUUUGAAAAGAGAGUUAAACAGUACGUGAAAUUGUCAAAAGGGAAGCGUUUGACACCAGUGUUGUUUUUCUGAAAAUCAAUUAAAGAACUGUUUAUGCUAAGUUGUUUAGACUUUAUCAGCUAACUGUUUAGUUUUGAGCUUUUCUUUAAUGCACUUUUCAGUUAACAAGUCAACAUCAAUUUCUUUUGCUGUAAAAAAGCUUGAGGAAGGUGGCUUGAGAUUCGUCUUAAGUGUUUAUAGCCUCUUGCCUAUGCAGUCGGAGAGAUUGAGGUCUGCAGCGUAGAUCCUUCGGGGCUAAAUGCAUUUGUGCUAAGUUAUAGCAUUUUAUAGACAACUUGUUGACUAGUGAUUUGUCUUGUAGCUUACUCGCUUAUGUUAUUUUACCUACGCUUAGGAUGUUGACGAGACUGUCGAUCUCAUCUAUACAUGACUCUGUGCAUAUCAAUAAGCGGAGGAAAAGGCUGCGGAACUGAACGACCGCUACCUACGCUUAGGAUGUUGACGAGACUGUCGAUCUC
rnacentral:rRNA from 1 species